CCGCCGCAUGUUUCUUCUUCUUGCUCCAGCGUUGGUUCAACCUCAGGGAGUGUUGCAUCAAUACUGUCGUCGUCGUCGUUGGCAAUUGGAUUUCCGUUUCAACGCAAUAUUCCUUGCUGCUUCGGAGAGGAUGCCUGUUACAGGAAUUCUAUGCUUUGAAGCGACGUUGUAGCGGACAAGAUGGAAAUUCACUUAGGUGCUUCUGCUUUGUUGCGGUUAAAAAGGAGGACAAAAAUAUCCGAAGGACUGUUCUAAACAGUGUU